ACGGAAGGCAGCAGUGGGGAAUAUUGCACAAUGGGCGAAAGCCUGAUGCAGCGACGCCGCGUGAGUGAAGAAGUUAUUCGUAACGUAAAGCUCUAUCAGCAGGGAAGAAAAUGACGGUACCUGACUAAGAAGCCCCGGCUAACUACGUGCCAGCAGCCGCGGUAAUACGUAGGGGGCAAGCGUUAUCCGGAUUUACUGGGUGUAAAGGGAGCGUAGACGGCAUGGCAAGUCUGAAGUGAAAUCCCGGGGCUCAACCCUGGAACUGCUUUGGAAACUGUCAAGCUAGAGUGCAGGAGAGGUAAGCGGAAUUCCUAGUGUAGCGGUGAAAUGCGUAGAUAUUAGGAGGAACACCAGUGGCGAAGGCGGCUUACUGGACGGUAACUGACGUUGAGGCUCGAAAGCGUGGGGAGCAAACAGGAUUAGAUACCCUGGUA
rnacentral:rRNA from 1 species